GACAGAGGUGCCGAGCGUUAGGCGGAAUCACUGGGCUUAAAGCGUGUGUAGGCGGGCCGUUAAGUGUCUUGUGAAAUCCCCCCGGCUCAACCGGGGGAAUUGCUGGGCAUACUGGCGGUCUUGAGCAAUCUAGGGGCAGAUGGAACAAGUGGUGGAGCGGUGAAAUGCGUAGAUAUCACUUGGAACGCCAACGGUGAAGACAGUCUGCUGGGGAUUUGCUGACGCUGAGACACGAAAGCCAGGGGAGCGAACGGG
rnacentral:rRNA from 1 species